GGGAUUGUAGCUCAGUGGUAGAGCACUUGCCUUGCAAGUAUGAGGUUUUGAUCCUC
rnacentral:tRNA from 1 species